CUGCCGCUCCUCCAACACAACACCGGCCCUGUCUGUCACGGGCAGCCCACCGACUCAGCUCGCUCAUCCCAUCACAAGCCGCGCCAAAGCAGGAAGAAUAACUGUGAGCUUGAGCAAGAGCAGGAGCUACACAGGGCCGGCCUGCAACAAUGGCUCGUCGGCGGUGUACCGGCUGGGAGGCACUGCUCCGGGCAGCGCUAUGGCAGGCGAUUCUGGUCCUGCCAUGGACGAGCUACGCCGGCACGAGCAAAGCGGCAUCGCCGCUGCCCAAGGCGGUGGCGCCGGCGGUGGUGUCGAGGGCGGAGGACGCGAGGCUGUUCCGGAUAUACUACGGCCAGGGCUUCAAGGUGGUCAAGAACAGCUGGGACGGCAACAGCUACCUCCUCAUGCAGAACACGUCCAGGAUGGCGAUCAAGACCAAGUACUGCACGGGGAGGAUCAAGUCGUUCGUUGUCCCUCUCGCCAACUACUCCGUCGACACCUCCGCUUCUCCAGUGUCAUUCUUUGAGCUACUUGGAGUGCUACAGAACUUGCAGGGGAUAACAUCAGACCAUGUUUCUUCACCGUGUGUGCUCCAAUCGUAUGCAAAUGGACAUGUGCAACUUGUGAACAGGACAGACGCACAGAAACUCUCGCAAUUUAGUGCGCAUUUCGUGAGCAAUACAGAUAAAGAUAAAGGUUGCAAUUUUGCAGCUUACGUACCCGCAGAAGAGGAUACACCGUUGCAGAGGGCCGAGUGGAUCAAAUACCUGGGAACUUUCACAAAUUCCGAAGAAAGGGCCAAUGCAAUAUAUGACGCAAUUAAGACAAACUACUUGUGCUUAAGCAAAGCAGCUGCAGACCUUGGUACACGAUUCAAACCUAUAGUAGCAUGGAUUGAAUACACACAGGGAAUGUGGUCAUUUGUCAAAGAAAGCUACAAGUUACAGUAUGUCACAGAUGCAGGAGCGGAAAUUGUCGAUGCAACUAUUACUGAUAAGAGAUUCAACAUUUCGGAUCCCGAGGAUAUGGACAACUUACAUGCUAUUCUCUGUACAGUGGACGUGGUCAUAGAUCAAACAUAUGCCUCAGAUCCUGCAGAGUACAAACUAUCCACAUUUUUGGAGAAUAUUAAUGUGGACCGUAACUCUUGUUUUAGUUUUGUAGCCAACCAUAGUAUAUGGAGAUAUGAUAAAAGAAUAGGAGAUUCCAAGACACUUGAUUGGUUUGAUGGAGCUAUCUCCCAGCCUCAGUUGGUUCUAGCUGAUCUAGUAGAAGUUUUCUUCCCAACGGGGAACUACACGACAGUUUACUUCAGGAAUCUUGCAAAGGAAGAAGGGGUAACAGAAAUUGGCCCUGAAAUUUGUGGUAGGAGCAUAUCCACACCCAUGGAGCCUACGAUCCUGCCCUGCCAAUGACGACCUUAGAUGAACAUUAAGACCAUUCAAGCUACUGUGCUCGCAAACAGUGGAAACGUGGAACUGUUAUAGGUCACCAACAAGGUAUGAGGGGUCUCCAAGGGUCCUGAAAAUAAUACAAUGUGAUUAUCUUGGUGCAACAAUUAGAACUAGUCAACUAUAACCAUUUGCAUAACAUUAUAGUGUGUUAAGCUGGACAGUAUAUCUCAGGUUUCCUAUACAAUGUAAGGAGGAAGGACUAUUUGGUUCAUUGUAGUAUUUUCCUAAUUUCGUUUCAAACUGA